UACAGAGGGGGCAAGCGUUGUUCGGAAUUACUGGGCGUAAAGGGCGCGUAGGCGGCCCGCUAAGUCGAACGUGAAAUCCCCGAGCUCAACUCGGGAACUGCGUCCGAUACUGGCGGGCUUGAAUCCGGGAGAGGGAUGCGGAAUUCCAGGUGUAGCGGUGAAAUGCGUAGAGAUCGGGAGGAACACCAGCGGCGAAGGCGGCUAACUGGACGAGCACUGACACUCAACUACGAAAGCGUGGGGAGCAAACAGG
rnacentral:rRNA from 1 species